rnacentral:rRNA from 1 species
CAAUAGCGUAUAUUUAAGUUGUUGCAGUUAAAAAGCUCGUAGUUGGAUUUCGGAUGGGACUUGCCGGUCCGUCGUUUCGAUGUGCACUGGCCGGUCCUAUCUUGUUGUCGGGGACUAGCUCCUGGGCUUCACUGUCCGGGACUAGGAGCUGACGAGGUUACUUUGAGUAAAUUAGAGUGUUCAAAGCAAGCCUACGCUCUGAAUACAUUAGCAUGGAAUAACACGAUAGGACUCUGGCUUAUCUUGUUGGUCUGUGAGACCAGAGUAAUGAUUAAGAGGGACAGUCGGGGGCAUUCGUAUUUCAUUGUCAGAGGUGAAAUUCUUGGAUUUAUGAAAGACGAACUUCUGCGAAAGCAUUUGUCAAGGAUGUUUNCAUUAA